GGGUGAGUAACACGUGGGUAAUUUACCUUUAAGACGGGGAUAACCUAGUGAAAACUAGGCUAAUACCCGGUAUGACCACAUAUACACAAGUAUGUGCGGUGAAAGAUGGCGUACGUUUCGGCUGUCACUUAAAGAUAAGCCCGCGUCCUAUCAGCUAGUUGGUGAGGUAAUGGCCCACCAAGGCGAAGACGGGUAGCUGGUCUGAGAGGAUGGUCAGCCACAUUGGGACUGAGACACUGCCCAGACUCCUACGGGAGGCUGCAGUCGAGGAUCUUUUGCAAUGGGCGAAAGCCUGACAAUGCGACGCCGCGUGAGUGAUGAAGGCCUUCGGGUUGUAAAACUCUGUUUGCCUGGAAGAAAUACUGCGGAUAAAUAGUCCGCAGGGAUGACGGUACGGGCAGAGGAAGCCACGGCUAACUCCGUGCCAGCAGCCGCGGUAAUACGGAGGUGGCAAGCGUUACUCGGAUUCAUUGGGUGUAAAGGGCAUGUAGGUGGUUUUGUAAGUCGAAUGUGAAAUCCUUUGGCUCAACCAAAGAAAUGCACUCGAAACUGCAAAACUUGAGUUUGGGAUAGG
rnacentral:rRNA from 1 species